UAAUCCUUUUCUUUGCAAUGGAAGAAGUUCUACAUAUCAUCUCUUUCUCUUUCUAUUUCUACACUAACUCAACAAUUCUCCUAUCUCACGAGUAACUCACCAAUUCUCCUAUCUCUCUCUCUGCAUAUUACUUAAAGGAGAUUUUAAAUCCUAAUUUCUGUUUGACACCCCAAACGUUCGAGUGUCUUAUAUUGGUUGUCCUGUCAAUUCACAAUUAAAGAGGCUCUGUUAACCGCUCGAUCAAUGACUGGUCGGACGAUCAUACAGUUGCAGGCCCCUCAAGCCAGAGCAUCUCUAUCAUUUAAGAGGGGUAUAGGGGUUUGUUGUGGUCGGAUAAACAAUUAAGGAUUCUGUAAUGGAGUGAGUUCUGUCAUGUUGCCUAUUUAAGGAUAGUUACUUACGUGGACAGUUACCGUGUGGCGGUAACAAAAAUAUAACUAAUGUGGGGACACAUGUAACUUUGGAAUUCGUGCAUCCAUUUGAAACGAAAGGUUGUGUGUUGUUAAUCGUCAGAUCAAGUUGAUUUUUGAUGGCUGAGAUUCGCCUGUCAAAACUAUUUUAAA